CGGGGUGUAGCUCAGCCUGGUAGAGUGCUUGCUUUGGGAGCAAGAUGUCGGAGGUUCGAAUCCUCUCACCCCGACCA
rnacentral:tRNA from 1 species